rnacentral:rRNA from 1 species
UCAAGUAAUUAAGUGCAUGUGGUGGAUGCCUUGGCAGUCAGAGGCGAUGAAAGACGUGAUAGCCUGCGAAAAGCUCCGGGGAGGCGGCAAAUAUCCUUUGAUCCGGAGAUGUCUGAAUGGGGGAACCCACCUACUUUAAGGUAGGUAUUGCAACAUGAAUACAUAGUGUUGCAAGGCGAACGAGGGGAAGUGAAACAUCUCAGUACCCUUAGGAAAAGAAAUCAAUUGAGAUUCCCUCAGUAGCGGCGAGCGAACGGGGAUCAGCCCAUUAAGUUAUGUGUGUUUUAGUGGAACGCUCUGGGAAGUGCGAACGUAGAGGGUGAUAUUCCCGUACACGAAAGGGCACACAUAAUGAUGACGAGUAGGGCGAGGCACGUGAAACCUUGUCUGAAUAUGGGGGGACCAUCCUCCAAGGCUAAAUACUCCUGACUGACCGAUAGUGAACCAGUACCGUGAGGAAAGGCGAAAAGAACCCUGUGAGGGAGUGAAAUAGAUCCUGAAACCGCAUGCAUACAAGCAGUGGGAGCACCUUCGUGGUGUGACUGCGUACCUUUGUAUAAUGGGUCAGCGACUUAUAUUCAGUAGCGAGGUUAACCGUAUAGGGAGCCGUAGAGAAAUCGAGUCUUAAUAGGGCGUUUAGUUGCUGGGUAUAGACCCGAAACCAGGCGAUCUAUCCAUGAGCAGGUUGAAGGUUGGGUAACACUAACUGGAGGACCGAACCCACUGUCGUUGAAAAGCCAGGGAUGACUUGUGGAUAGGGUGAAAGGCUAAUCAAGCCUGGUGAUAGCUGGUUCUCCCCGAAAGCUAUUUAGGUAGCGCCUCGGACGAAUACCAUAGGGGGUAGAGCACUGUUUCGGCUAGGGGGUCAUCCCGACUUACCAAACCGAUGCAAACUCCGAAUACCUAUGAGUACUAUCCGGGAGACAGACUGCGGGUGCUAACGUCCGUAGUCAAGAGGAAAACAAUCCAGACCGCCAGCUAAGGCCCCAAAAUCAUAGUUAAGUGGGAAACGAUGUGGGAAGGCAUAGACAGCUAGGAGGUUGGCUUAGAAGCAGCCACCCUUUAAAGAAAGCGUAAUAGCUCACUAGUCGAGUCGGCCUGCGCGGAAGAUGUAACGGGCUAAAACUAUGUGCCGAAGCUGCGGAUGUAUACUUUGUAUACGUGGUAGGGAGCGUUCUGUAAGCCGAUGAAGGUGUGUUGAGAAGCAUGCUGGAGGUAUCAGAAGUGCGAAUGCUGACGUGAGUAACGACAAAACGGGUGAAAAACCCGUUCGCCGAAAGACCAAGGGUUCCAGUCCAACGUUAAUCGGGGCUGGGUGAGUCGACCCCUAAGGCGAGGCCGAAAGGCGUAGUCGAUGGGAAAAUGGUUAAUAUUCCAUUACUUCUGUGUAAUGCGAUGAGAGGACGGAGAAGGCUAAAUCAGCCUGGCGUUGGUUGUCCAGGUGAAAGGAUGUAGGCAUGUAUCUUAGGCAAAUCCGGGUACUCUAUGCUGAGAUCUGAUAGCAAGCUGUACUUGUACAGCGAAGUGGUUGAUGCCAUGCUUCCAGGAAAAGUCUCUAAGCUUCAGUUACACAGGAAUCGUACCCGAAACCGACACAGGUGGUCAGGUCGAGUAGACCAAGGCGCUUGAGAGAACUCUGCUGAAGGAACUAGGCAAAAUGGUACCGUAACUUCGGGAGAAGGUACGCUGUUGUUGGUGAUGGAACUCGCUUCCUGAGCUGACGACAGCCGCAGAAACCAGGCCGCUGCAACUGUUUAUUAAAACAUAGCACUCUGCAAACACGAAAGUGGACGUAUAGGGUGUGAUGCCUGCCCGGUGCUGGAAGGUUAAUUGAUGGGGUUAGCGUAAGCGAAGCUCUUGAUCGAAGCCCCAGUAAACGGCGGCCGUAACUAUAACGGUCCUAAGGUAGCGAAAUUCCUUGUCGGGUAAGUUCCGACCUGCACGAAUGGCAUAAUGAUGGCGGCGCUGUCUCCAGCAGAGGCUCAGUGAAAUCGAAAUCGCUGUGAAGAUGCAGUGUACCCGCGGCUAGACGGAAAGACCCCGUGAACCUUUACUGCAGCUUGACACUGAACUUUGACCUUACUUGUGUAGGAUAGGUGGGAGGCUUUGAAGCUGGAACGCUAGUUCCAGUGGAGCCGUCCUGAAAUACCACCCUGGUAAUGUUGAGGUUCUAACUCUGUCCCGUGAUCCGGGACGAGGACCGUGUCUGGUGGGUAGUUUGACUGGGGCGGUCUCCUCCUAAAGAGUAACGGAGGAGUACGAAGGUGCGCUCAGCGUGGUCGGAAAUCACGCGUAGAGUAUAAAGGCAAAAGCGCGCUUAACUGCGAGACCCACAAGUCGAGCAGGUACGAAAGUAGGUCUUAGUGAUCCGGUGGUUCUGUAUGGAAGGGCCAUCGCUCAACGGAUAAAAGGUACUCUGGGGAUAACAGGCUGAUACCGCCCAAGAGUUCAUAUCGACGGCGGUGUUUGGCACCUCGAUGUCGGCUCAUCUCAUCCUGGGGCUGAAGCAGGUCCCAAGGGUAUGGCUGUUCGCCAUUUAAAGAGGUACGCGAGCUGGGUUUAGAACGUCGUGAGACAGUUCGGUCCCUAUCUACCGUGGGCGCUGGAAAUUUGAGAGGAUCUGCUCCUAGUACGAGAGGACCAGAGUGGACGAACCUCUGGUGUACCGGUUGUGACGCCAGUCGCAUCGCCGGGUAGCUAUGUUCGGAAGGGAUAACCGCUGAAAGCAUCUAAGCGGGAAGCCUACCUCAAGAUAAGAUUUCCCUAGGACUUUAUGUCCUCUAAAGAGCCGUUCGAGACUAGGACGUUGAUAGGUUGGAUGUGGAAGCAUAGUGAUAUGUGAAGCUGACCAAUACUAAUUGCUCGUGAGGCUUGACUA